rnacentral:sRNA from 1 species
CUGCGUCGCCCUUUGCGAAAGGGCAUUCCUCCCUAGACUAGGGCCGCCUCCUAUGUGAGAGCGGCCUUUUUUGUUGGCUGG